rnacentral:lncRNA from 10 species
GGAGCUGUUUGGGUGAAGACUGAGGUGGAUUGGCCUGGUUUAUCAUCGAGAGCUUGAAAAACUUUAGGAUAUAAGAAAGGAAAGAGGCCUUCCUGGGGGAAGAUAAAUGAGUGUGUGUUUCUUCCAAAGGCAAGGCUCUGAAUGAACGGGCGAUAUUGGUGAGUCCUUUUUAAUUUUCUUCAAAUACCACGUUUGUGCUUUAUUUAAUCCACUUUUGUUUCGUUUUGUUUUUUGAGACAAGUUCUGGCUCUGUCACCCAGUGGCACAAUCAGCCAACUGGAGCCUCGACCUCCUGGUGAGCGAUCUUCUCACCUCAGUCCCCCAAGUAGCUGGGACUACAGGCUGGCACCACCGCAUCUGGCUAUUCCACUGUCAUUUUGGGGGGCAUGUUGAAGCCUAGAAGCUGGGCAUGGUGGCCUGUGGUCCCAGCUACUCGGGAGGCUGAGGUGGGAGGAUCGCUUGAGCCCGGGAGGUCAAAGCUGCAGGGAGCUGUGAUCGCGCCACUGCACUCCAACCUGGGAGACAAAGCCACCAGACGGUCAAAAAAAAGGCCGGGCGCGGUGGCUCACGCUGUAAUCCUAGCCUUUGGGAGGUCGAGGUGGACGAAUUGCCUGAGCUCAGGACUUCUAGACUAGCCUGGGCAAUACGGUGAAACCCCAUCUCUACUAAAAUACAAAAAGUUAGCCGAGUGUGGUGGUGCAUGCCUGUAAUCCCAGCUUCUCGGGAGGCUGAGGUAGGAGAAUUGCUUGAACCCGGGAGGCAGAGGUUGCAGUGAGCAGAGAUCGCGCCGCUGCACUCCAGCCUGGGGGACAGAGCGAGACCCUGUCUCCAAAUAAAUAAAUAAAUAAAUAAAUAAAUACAAAUAAAAUUAAAUUAAAAAGGCGAAGUCUAAUAAAAGUGUAAGAUUUUAGAAAUGCAAUGGAUCUAGAAGUUUCUUAAAAUGGGACAGUACGGUGUCGUUGCUGUCGUUUGUUUCAAAGCAAUACUGCCACCUGUUGGUAUAAAAAGACAGCUUUAUCUCAAUGUUUUUUCUGAAAGUCUUAAUGCUGGAAUGAGGCCCAGAUAACCAUGGGCGGAAAUUAAACUGAUGUUAAUUUAGUAUUGACACUCUGCCUGUCCUUCCCAAACUUCCCCUAAAGACAUAGCUCACAGGAGUCUUAAAAUUAUGCCAUAAAAUAAAAUAGACGAAAGAGUAUUACCAGUACCUUAGAAAGCUGGAAUGGUUGACUUCUGUGUUUGCUUAAGAGAAACUUCCACUUUCAUUGCCUCAUUGUUCACUUUCAUUCCACGUAAGAUUUUAAGAUCAAAAAACACUUUUUCGGCUGGGCGAGAUGGCUCACUCCUGUAAUCCCAGCACUUUGGGAGGCGGUCGGAUCGCUUCAGCCCAGGACUUCUAGACCAGCCUGGGCAACAUGGUGAAACCCCGUCUCUACAAACAACACAAAAGAAAAAUUAGCAGGGCGUGGUGGUGCCCGCCUGUGGUCCCAG